rnacentral:rRNA from 1 species
CGGAGCUAACGCGUUAAGUGUGCCGCCUGGGGAGUACGGCCGCAAGGUUAAAACUCAAAGAAAUUGACGGGGGCCCGCACAAGCAGAGGAGCAUGUGGCUUAAUUCGAUGCAACGCGAAGAACCUUACCCGGGUUUGACAUAUGACUGCAACUCCCUGGAAACAGGGAUUCCUUCGAGGGUGUCAUACAGGUGCUGCAUGGCUGUCGUCAGUUCGUGCCGUGAGGUGUUUGGUUAAGUCCAGCAACGAACGCAACCCCUAUGUCCAGUUGCCAGCGGGUAAUGCCGGGGACUCUGGACAGACUGCCCGUUCACACGGGAGGAAGGUGGGGACGACGUCAAGUCAGUAUGGCCCUUACAUCCGGGGCUGCACACGUGCUACAAUGGCCGGUACAGAAGGAAGCAAUGCCGCGAGGCGGAGCCAAUCCCCAAAACCGGCCCCAGUUCGGAUUGUGGUCUGCAACCCGACCACAUGAAGUUGGAUUUGCUAGUAACGGCGCAUCAGCUACGGCGCCGUGAAUACGUUCCCGGGCCUUGUACACACCGCCCGUCACAUCAUGAAAGCCGUCUGCACCCGAAUCCGGUGCACCAACCAGCAAUGGAGGGAGCCGUCUAAGGUGUGGGUGGUGAUUGGGAUGAAGUCGUAACAAGGUAACCAAGGGCGAA